AUUGAACGCUAGCGGCAGGCUUAACACAUGCAAGUCGAACGAGUGGCGGACGGGAGAGUAAUGCUUGGGAAUCUGGCUUAUGGAGGGGGAUAACGACGGGAAACUUCCGCUAAUCACGCGUUCCAUAGGAUCAGCCCAAGUGGGAUUAGAUUGUUGGUGGGGUCAUGGCCUACCAAGCCGACGAUCUCAAGCUGGUCUGAGAGGAUGACCAGCCACACUGAGACUGAGACACGUCCCGGACUCCUACGGGAGGCAGCAGUGGGGAAUAUUGCGCAAGGGGGGCAACAUGACGCAGCCAUGCCGCGUGAAUGAAGAAGGCCUUCGGGUUGUAAAGUUCUUUCGGUGACAAGGCGUUAAUCACAGAAGAAGCACCGGCUAACUCCGUGCCAGCAGCCGCGGUAAUUC
rnacentral:rRNA from 1 species